rnacentral:rRNA from 1 species
GACGAACGCUGGCGGCGUGCCUAAUACAUGCAAGUCGAGCGAGCUUGCCUAGAUGAUUUUAGUGCUUGCACUAAAUGAAACUAGAUACAAGCGAGCGGCGGACGGGUGAGUAACACGUGGGUAACCUGCCCAAGAGACUGGGAUAACACCUGGAAACAGAUGCUAAUACCGGAUAACAACACUAGACGCAUGUCUAGAGUUUGAAAGAUGGUUCUGCUAUCACUCUUGGAUGGACCUGCGGUGCAUUAGCUAGUUGGUAAGGUAACGGCUUACCAAGGCAAUGAUGCAUAGCCGAGUUGAGAGACUGAUCGGCCACAUUGGGACUGAGACACGGCCCAAACUCCUACGGGAGGCAGCAGUAGGGAAUCUUCCACAAUGGACGAAAGUCUGAUGGAGCAACGCCGCGUGAGUGAAGAAGGGUUUCGGCUCGUAAAGCUCUGUUGGUAGUGAAGAAAGAUAGAGGUAGUAACUGGCCUUUAUUUGACGGUAAUUACUUAGAAAGUCACGGCUAACUACGUGCCAGCAGCCGCGGUAAUACGUAGGUGGCAAGCGUUGUCCGGAUUUAUUGGGCGUAAAGCGAGUGCAGGCGGUUCAAUAAGUCUGAUGUGAAAGCCUUCGGCUCAACCGGAGAAUUGCAUCAGAAACUGUUGAACUUGAGUGCAGAAGAGGAGAGUGGAACUCCAUGUGUAGCGGUGGAAUGCGUAGAUAUAUGGAAGAACACCAGUGGCGAAGGCGGCUCUCUGGUCUGNCACUGACGCUGAGGCUCGAAAGCAUGGGUAGCGAACAGG